rnacentral:rRNA from 1 species
GGUACAAACCGGAGGAAGGUGGGGAUGACGUCAAAUCAUCAUGCCCCUUAUGACCUGGGCUACACACGUGCUACAAUGGUUGGUACAACGAGUUGCGAGUCGGUGACGGCGAGCUAAUCUCUUAAAGCCAAUCUCAGUUCGGAUUGUAGGCUGCAACUCGCCUACAUGAAGUCGGAAUCGCUAGUAAUCGCGGAUCAGCACGCCGCGGUGAAUACGUUCCCGGGCCUU